rnacentral:rRNA from 1 species
UACGAAGGGGGCUAGCGUUGCUCGGAAUUACUGGGCGUAAAGCGCACGUAGGCGGCUUCUUAAGUCGGUGGUGAAAUCCUGGAGCUCAACUCCAGAACUGCCUUUGAUACUGAGAAGCUUGAGUCCGGGAGAGGUGAGUGGAACUGCGAGUGUAGAGGUGAAAUUCGUAGAUAUUCGCAAGAACACCAGUGGCGAAGGCGGCUCACUGGCCCGGUACUGACGCUGAGGUGCGAAAGCGUGGGGAGCAAACAGGG